rnacentral:rRNA from 1 species
UACGAAGGGGGCUAGCGUUGCUCGGAUUGACUGGGCGUAAAGGGCGCGUAGGCGGUUCGUACAGUCAGACGUGAAAUUCCUGGGCUCAACCUGGGGGCUGCGUUUGAUACGUGCGGACUUGAGUGCGGAAGAGGGUCGUGGAAUUCCCAGUGUAGAGGUGAAAUUCGUAGAUAUUGGGAAGAACACCGGUGGCGAAGGCGGCGACCUGGUCCGAUACUGACGCUGAGGCGCGAAAGCGUGGGGA